AACUGCACCUACGACUACAGGAUUAUCGAUUUUCUCUAUGGCGACAAAUUUUUGUAGAAAAAAUGCUGGUGAC